CUGAGAUUAAACAUAUCAUAAAGCGGCAAGA
rnacentral:rRNA from 1 species